GGAUGAAUAUUGCGCAAUGGAGGCAACUCUGACGCAGCCAUGCCGCGUGCAGGAAGAAGGCGCUACGCGUUGUAAACUGCUUUUAUUCGGGAAGAAACCCCUCGACGUGUCGAGGGUUGACGGUACCGGAGGAAUAAGCACCGGCUAACCUCGUGCCAGCAGCCGCGGUAAUACGAAGGGUGCAAGCGUUAUCCGGAUUCAUUGGGUUUAAAGGGUGCGUAGGCGGAGCGUUAAGUCAGUGGUGAAAUCC
rnacentral:rRNA from 1 species